AGUGAACGCAGGCGGUAGGCCUAACACAUGCAAGUCGAACGGCAGCACAGUAAGAGCUUGCUCUUACGGGUGGCGAGUGGCGGACGGGUGAGGAAUACAUCGGAAUCUACUUUUUCGUGGGGGAUAACGUAGGGAAACUUACGCUAAUACCGCAUACGACCUACGGGUGAAAGCAGGGGAUCUUCGGACCUUGCGCGAUUGAAUGAGCCGAUGUCGGAUUAGCUAGUUGGCGGGGUAAAGGCCCACCAAGGCGACGAUCCGUAGCUGGUCUGAGAGGAUGAUCAGCCACACUGGAACUGAGACACGGUCCAGACUCCUACGGGAGGCAGCAGUGGGGAAUAUUGGACAAUGGGCGCAAGCCUGAUCCAGCCAUACCGCGUGGGUGAAGAAGGCCUUCGGGUUGUAAAGCCCUUUUGUUGGGAAAGAAAAGCAGCAGGUUAAUACCCCGCUGUUCUGACGGGACCCAAAGAAUAAGCACCGGCUAACUUCGU
rnacentral:rRNA from 1 species